CGGGGCGAUAGCGCAGACUGGUUAGCGCGCCUGCUUCGGGAGCAGGAGGUCACCGGUUCAAGUCCGGUUGCCCCGACCA
rnacentral:tRNA from 1 species